GCCCGGGUGGCGAAAUUGGUAUACGCAACGGAUUUAAAAUCCGUCGAUCUAACGAUCAUGCCGGUUCAAGUCCGGCUCCGGGCA
rnacentral:tRNA from 1 species